UACUGAGUGACAACAUGAUAGACUAGAAGUCUCCUGACUUUGGAGUCAGACUGACGCCCGCAAUUGGCCUCAGUGUCUAUGUCUUUAUACAAGGAAUGAACCUUGCUGGAUUGGGAGGAUUAGAAAUGACAUAUGUAAAGAACUCACCGUACUUUACAAAUACUGUGGCCCAUAGUGGACAUUCAAUAAUGGAAGCUGCACAUAAGGACGAUGUAGUUUAAAGAAAAGAGCCCUGGCCUGGGAACUGGGGUACCAGGGUUCUGUUACCCAAACACUGGGUUCAUCUCUUGGUGGGUGUCAAGUCAAAAGACACAACCAAGCCAAAGAUCUAUUAGGGGAACCACUGACUGAAGCCACCCGCCCUAGCCAGGCCCGAUAGUAACCACUUGCAUGAGUUCUCUUACAACAAGAUGUCCUGGUAAGGAAUGUGGAACUGACAAGCUAUCAGCAACCGGGAUAAUUUGGGAAAGGUCAAAAGGAGAGAGGAGAAACCAGUCCAUAUGUCCUACCAACCUCCCAGAAUCCUUCUCGCUGGAAUCCAUCUUGGCUGAGUGAUGCACACGCCACCAGGAAGGACCCUGAGUCAGAGUGAUUGGCCAGAGACAACCAGGAAACUAAUGCCAUUACCAUAAAACCGGAGACUGCGAGCCACGAAGCAGAGCAGUUCUCCUGGGUUCCCUUACCCUGUUGCUCUCUGCCCCGGCGCCCCUUCCCAAUAAAGUCUCUUGCUUUGUCAGCACGUGUGUCUCCUUGGACAGUUCAUUACCAAGUGUUAGACAAGAGCCCACUCUCGGGCCCUGGAAGGGGUUCUCCUUCCUGCAACAAAUGGUGACUCUGGUGGGCCUCUUCUUCGCUACGACUGACAUCCUGGCCACUCGGGGUACUCAGGGACCAGCUCGCCUGCCGACAGACCAGACCCAGAGGCCGCAACUGGGACCCUUUUGUCCCACAUGUCCUUCUGACACACAUGACUGGCCAGAGUGCCCUGACCAGGGAAGAAGUGUUGGCUGGAGAGAAACUAGGUCCAGUUGGAGGGGCGCUAGCAUGCUGCCACUAAUGCGAGGUGGAAAGUUCUUCGCUGGGGAGCUGACUGCUGUGCUGUGGGAACACAGGUGAGCAAGGAAACAAGCAAUCAGCUCUGGCUGGAUCAGGUGUGGCACCUGAGCUGGGCCUUCAGUGCUCAUGCGUGGGUUUUUCCACUGGAGAAAGCAGGUGUUUCAGGUGAGGACAAAGACCCAAGUGUCCGGCAGGUGAAAGAGCAUGGUGCUGUCCAAUGGCGGCUCAUAUCCAACCCCACUGCAAUCAGCUUCUGGGACUACCUCUGACUGUUGAGUUGUAUCAAAUACAUUUAAGACAAGUGGACCCUCUGUGGGCUUUGGAAAUCUUUUAGCUCUACUCUAGGGAAAUGUUAACUGAAAUGGGAGUUGCCCUGUAAACCCCAGGUACUCACCAUUUGGACUGGGGCAAAGGAAACUACCAGUUAAACAUAAGCCUUAACUCACUAAUAAUAAUAACUAAUCGUUCCAUGGUGUGUUCUAUGUGCCAGGCCCUGUUGAAGUGCUAUACUUCUAUUAAUUUAUUUAAUUCUCAGAACAAUCGUGUGAAAGACGUGCUGUUGUGUUACUUCCUUCACAGAUAAAGAAAGUUAGAAAAAUUAGAUCAUUCGCCAAAGGUCACCUGCAAGGAAAUGGGAGAAUCAGAAUUAGGAUCCAGGCCCCCCGAUCCUAACCAUUCUGCAGGCUGCCUCUCUAGAGACUGAGGAAGUAAGGAAUCAAUGUUACAGAAAAAA
rnacentral:lncRNA from 1 species